GCUAACACUGAAAAAAGCACUUGCUCGUGACAAUAAGAGGUGCACUUUUGCUACUAAGAUUCCCUGUAGUUGCUAUGUGCACAUGAGAGCUAUGAGCUGAUGAGCCCAUUGAAGAUUGUUUUUUAUUUUCGACGAGCAGGAAUGCAUAUGCCUGGUUAUGUAAUGUGCGAUAGAGUAGAGAGAAAUAAUUGAAAGUGGUCACUGUUUCUGUUUGGGUGAGCAUCUGGUAUGCUCCACUGUUGACUAAAUCAUGUUUGGAGUGCUGAAGAAGAUAAAUGCAAUAUGCAACCUUCUACCUGUCUUGUGUAAAAGUUGCAGAGGUCGCCCCAAUUUUCGUUUGCAGAAUUAACCAUUUGACUCUGCCUUGUGCAAAAUCGUUUUGGUACACACAUUUCCCGAGCUAUUUGUGAAGAUUACGUAUGACUUACAUGUGACAACUCCCCAAAAAAUAAAUAUCUGCUAUUGAGAUAACCCUCUGAUCCACCAUUUCGCGUCCCUGUCUCGUUGACUAUUUGAACUAACUAAAACUACUUUCGGAGGGAGUUUUGACUCCUUGGAAGACAACCACGACCCGGCAACCCAGAUCUGGACUUCUUUUAUACUACUAGUUCACGAGCAGAGGAGGGAUCAGACAUCAAAGCAGCAAGCAGCAUGGAGGCCCAACAAUGGCGGAGAAGGUGUUUGGCAUGUGGGCGAGCCCGAUGGCCAUCCGGGUUGAGCCGGCAACAUUUGUGACUAGGUUUGCAGGAAACAUCAAUUCAUUAAUCUGUUGCAUAAAACACCUUAUUAGCAGUAAAUUUGUUGCAAAAAGCACUGAUUGAAUGAUUUGACUCAUUUAAUCACUUUCUGACAAGUGGGGCCUAACUGUCAAGAGCUGACUUGGGAAACAAAUGUUAUACACACCCCUAAAUCUAAAAAUAAAAAGCAAUCAACCCCUUUGCAACCGCUGCCUGCCCUCGCAACAAACCACGCCACCGCCGCCGGAAGCCCACCCGCCUCCCUGCCUCGAUGACCGCAGCCCCGCUCGAUUGGAUCGAGAGGAGCUCCUCGAUCUAGAGCCUCCCCUCGUCCUUGGGCCUUCCGGCUACCAGCGAACGCCGCCGGCGAACCAACCCGGCGCACCCGCCGCCCCUCUGCCCUGCUCCUUCUCCAUCCUCCUUCUCUUCUCCCUGUGCCCUCUCUGACACAGCCGCCGGUUUCCGCAGGACCUCCAUGGAGAUCGCCCGAUUUGCUACAAAUCGCUAUGGCCGCCUCCCCAACAACUCGCCGUUGGAUCCGAGCAUGCCCGAUCUGGAGCACCUCUCCUGAUCUCCCUCGCGCCCGACCCCGCCUAGAUCCGGAGCCUCGCCGCCGGACCCCCUCCUCUGCGCCCCAUUCCAGCCGCUGUCGGCCAUGGCAGGAGCCACGCCGCCGCAUACUGAAACGGACGCUCCGCUGUCACCAUCCUGCCUUGCGCCGUCGUCGUCUGCACUUCGUUGUCCCCAUCAUCAACGCCAUCAACACCGGCCUGGACGCCGCCGAUCGCUGCAGCAUCGGCAAGCCAACCUAAAAAAUGAGCACACUCCGGCCACCUCCUCGUCCCUCGUCGCGGCCAUAGCCAGGCAACAAGGACGACAACGGCGCCAGGGCGCCGCGUGCCGGACGAGUUCACGCUGCUUCGGCAGGAGGGAUUGUGCACGGUGGUGUGCGUGUGGGGGGUCUGAUUGCUUUUGUUUUUUUAAUCUAGGGGUGUAUGUGUUAUUUUUUUGCUAAGUUAAUUCCUUACAAUCUGGCCCCACUUGUAAGAAAGUGAUUAAACGAGUGAAAUCAUUCAAUCAGUGCUUUUUGCAACGACUUAACCGAUUUUUGAGUGUUUUCUGCAACGGAUUAACGAGUUGAUGGUUUCAUGCAAACCUAGCCGCAAAUGUGGUGAUUUUUUACAAUUGACUCCCAAGAAGGUGCCGGUGCUGGUCCACGACGGCAAGCCCAUCGCCGAGUCCACCGUCAUCGUCGAGUACAUCGACGAGGCGUGGAAGGACGGCUACCCCAUCAUGCCGGCCGAUCCCUACGACCGGGCUCAGGCCAGGUUCUGGGCCAGGUUCGCCGACGACAAGGUACACACAUAUACUCUGUCCAGAAAGCACUCCUAGAGAUAUGCUCCUUAGGUACACACAGCAGCUCUAAAAAUGACAGGAUUGGGUUGGGGUUUGUUCAGUGCAACGCCGCCAUCUACCCGGUCUUCACGGCGACCGGCGAGGCGCAGCGCGAGGUGGUGCGCGAGGCCCAGCGGUGCCUGAAGACGCUGGAGAAGGCCCUGGUGGGGAAGAAGUUCUGGGGGCGACGCCGUCGGCUACCUCGACGUCGUGCUUGGGUGGUACGCGCACUGGCUGCCGAUCAUCGAGGAGGUCUCCGGCGCCAGCGUGGUCACCGACGAGGAGCUGCCUCUGAUGAAGGCCUGGUUCGGCCGGUUCCUGGCCGUCGACGUGGUGAAGGAGACCCUGCCGCCGAGGGACAAGCUCCUGGCGCUCAACAAGGCUCGCCGUGAGCAGCUGCUCUCGGCCUAGAGCAGCACCUGUUCCGAGCCUUCCAGCUAGUACUUAAGCUUCUGCCAUGGAUUAUCCAUGGUGGAUAAAUAAGCGGUGAGCAUUUGCACAUUGUGCAACAAAUGUUUGGAGCUUCUUUCAGCCGCCUGCUUCACACUCCCAGUUUCCGUUAUAUAUAAACUUCACCCAUGAUGUUAUAUAUACGGUGCAAUAUACACUGCCUACUUAUUUCCUCGAAUGUGAAAACAAAAAUGACAAGGCAAAUGCACAUCAGUUACUUGUUAUUUUUCGAAUUGAGGAGCAUGUCUCACAAUUUCACUUCAUCAUGAAAUUGAUAAAACACAGCAAAUCGUGCCCAAAAUGGUCCUGCUGAGCCAAAGCUACAGCGCUCAUACAAGGCCGGAAGGCCCUGGCCUAUAAAAAGUGACGCAGCACCAAGAUGAUAACCCCGCGGCCAUCUAGCAGCUAAGGGCAUGGCGACCCGCAAAAAAUCUUCCGCAUUCGUCCACGGACAUAGAUGUAGGAGACAACGCUACAUCAUCAACGACAACCUGCAAAAAUCUUUCGUAUUUAUUCGCGGACAUGAAUGCGAGAGGCAGCCAUCCAACGCUAGUGCAUACAUUUCAAACCAUAUUUUAAGAGCAUCUACAGCCGGACUUGGCAAAUUCUACCCCUCAAACACCCGGGGACGCGCCCGGGCGCGUCCGCUGGCACUGACCAGACACCCCUCAAAUAACGUAACCCACAUCCGGACACUUCUACUGUCAUAUCUCAAACCCAUACAAACUCAUGCAACUAAGUCGAUGCACACACAUCGUCCGGCUACUCCAUCACUACUAACUAAACAUGCCAUCGGACUAUCAAAAUUUGGCAUGUUUGGCUAUGGUGGAGUUCAUCCACGGAUGCCCUUACCCUUCCCGACGCCCUUGCCAUCCUUCUUGCGGAAGUAUCGGUCGAAGACGCAGUACCGAUCGAGUCGGAUCUGCUCGUCGCCAUCACUAUCCUCCUUCUCCUCCUUCGGUGGCAGUCCAGCCAUGGCACGAACCGUCCGAUUCUGCUCCCGGACGAGAGCACGCGUGUUCCUCCGCUGCCGUUUCUUCACAAUGCGGGCGCGGAUGGCUUCCUCCUCGACGGCCGCCUGCACCGCCGCAUCAGCCGCCUCCACCAUCGCCAUUUCCGCCGUGAUACGGGCCUUGGCGGCCCUUAUCCUCUCCUUCCCAGAGCGGGCCACCUGGUCCCGAUGGGACUCAUAGCAUGUCUGACCGGUGAUGGGGAAGGAGAGGGAUUCCGGCUGCCGGGACCGCGAGGAUAUAGCCCCGGAGGACCCGAGCGCCUGGUGAGCCGACGCUAUGGAGCCGCGGUGCACUACAAAAAAAAAAUACAC
rnacentral:lncRNA from 1 species